UACGUAGGGGCGAGCGUUAUCCGGAAUUAUUGGGCGUAAAGAGUGCGUAGGUGGUUUUUUAAGCGUGGGGUGAAAGGCAAUGGCUCAACCAUUGUAAGCCUUGCGAACUGGAAGACUUGAGUGCAGGAGAGGAAAGCGGAAUUCCUAGUGUAGCGGUGAAAUGCGUAGAUAUUAGGAGGAACACCAGUGGCGAAGGCGCUUUCUGGACUGUAACUGA
rnacentral:rRNA from 1 species